rnacentral:rRNA from 1 species
AUUGAACGCUGGCGGCAGGCCUAACACAUGCAAGUCGAGCGGAUGAAGGGAGCUUGCUCCUGGAUUCAGCGGCGGACGGGUGAGUAAUGCCUAGGACUCUGCCUGGUAGUGGGGGAUAACGUCCGGAAACGGGCGCUAAUACCGCAUACGUCCUGAGGGAGAAAGUGGGGGAUCUUCGGACCUCACGCUAUCAGAUGAGCCUAGGUCGGAUUGGCUAGUUGGUGGGGUAAAGGCCUACCAAGGCGACGAUCCGUAACUGGUCUGAGAGGAUGAUCAGUCACACUGGAACUGAGACACGGUCCACACUCCUACGGGAGGCAGCAGUGGGGAAUAUUGGACAAUGGGCGAAAGCCUGAUCCAGCCAUGCCGCGGGUGUGAAGAAGGUCUUCGGAUUGUAAAGCACUUUAAGUUGGGAGGAAGUGCAGUAAGUUAAUAUCUUGCUGUUUUGACGUUACCAACAGAAUAAGCACCGGCUAACUUCGUG